AUGGGCAAACUCUAUCCAACAUGGCGAGAUAUGAGAGAAUAACUAUUUAUCCUUUGUAUCUGUGCAUCUCGUUCGGGGGUCUGCAGUAUUGAAAAUAUGUGUUGGGUCAACAUCACGAAUUGGUUUAUAUUUUUUUAACGGAUAAUUCUCGUGAAAGCGCCUGCUUUAUAGUUCUCCUACUUGGUUGAUCAUGUCUGUUAUUGAGUUAAUGUUCUGGUAUAUGUUUGUGUACUUAGCGUGAUGUCCCUCAGUUCUGUUCUAUUUGUUUGAUAAAGCCUGAUGUGUUUUAUUGUGGCGAGUUUAUUUCUAUAAUUUUUAUUUUUCUGUUGCUUUAUAUAAAAUCUUGGAACCUAUUGUUGGCAUUGACUGAUUUACUGUGAUGUUAAUUUGUCAAAUGUCUCCCCCUUUUCACUAUUUUUUUUAUCUCUUGUAUUGUCAUACAUGUCUCCCAUAUUACUAUUAUUUUAACACAUUUUACCCUUUAUAUUUCCAUAAGGUGAUGCAACACCUCAUCAUGACACCCGCUCAGAGGAUGGGAAUGAAUACGAAGGAUUGAAUCUGCCAAGAGGACAAGAACACGUUUAUGACCUUUCCGAAAAACAAACGUUGGAAAGUACUUGAAUGAACAACUGUUAAAGAAAAACUAGUACAGAUAACUACUAAGGACGGAUUUAAAUGUCUCAAAGAGAAAGCACAGAUCACGAGGCUAACGUAUGACGACACUAUUCUUGUCUGGCUAUCCCUUAGAAAAUUCAGAAUAUUGAUCAGUUUUUUCAGGUCAUCCAUUAACAAACCAUCUUUAUCAUAUCAAGGUCACAUUUUGUUCCAAGGUCAUCCAUUAAUCCAUCUAAAUCACUUAUCGUUUCAGGGUUACAAUUGUAUCGAGGUCUAAAUAUCUCACCAUGGUUUCCGAAAAUAUAGGGGUCACUAUAUUGCCCCAAUGUCAUCCAAUAUAUCAUUCAUCGCUUCAAGGUAGUUCCUUAUCGUUUAUGCAUAGCCCAUCCGUUAUAUUAAAGUCAAUUAUUGUCCAAGGGUCAUUAAUUGUCCUAAGGUCAUCCAUCAUCUCAAGGUCAUUUCAGGUAAUCCAAUUUAUCAGCCAUUAAUCCUUCCAAGAUCAUCAAUUAAAUUAAUGUCAUUUAUUAUUCUAAGGUUAUCCAUAAUAUCAAGGUGAAUCAAGGUCAUCUGGUAUAUCAAGGUUAUUUGUUGUUCUCAUCAAAUAUAUAAAACUGAAGGCUUUGCUUUGUUUCAACAAUAGAUUCGAUUUUUUUAUUGCAUUUCAAAUACUUAAAAACAAAAUUAAAAACACCGAAAAAUUAAUAGUAUCAAAAAGUGCGGUAAUCAGUAAUGACGUCAUGUCCUUGUGACGUUACUCCACGUCAACUUGACGCGCCAUUUUGAAAAGACUAAUUAGCGUAAUUUAAGAGUUCUCUGCUAUUAUCGGAGAAUCUGUGAAUAAUUAAAGUCAAAUGAGUAUCUAGUCAACACCUAGUCAGAAUAUUGAUUGGGGAAAUCGGCAAGUUUCAAUGAGGUGAACGAAAGGUUCACUCGGAUGGGUCAAAAACGGAAAACUCAUAUUCUCACUGCAAAAAUUAUGCUUGCACUGCAAAAUAUGAUACUUUCACUGCUCAUCGCUGCAGUGAAAAUAUGUGUUAUUAGUUUGAUAAAUUUCUAUAUUUCACUGGCAAAAAUGCAAUAAAAUUAUCUAAAAUUAUAUCAAUGACAUGUCCCAUGUAAAUAUAUAUAAUUGGUUAAGGUCGAGUAUGGAGGGCAAGAUGUAUAUGUUAUCAUUCACCUAUAUCUCAAUACGUUUGUAUAUUUUACAAUUUCAUGUUGUAAUUCUAAAAAUAAAUUUUCUUAUU